AUUGAACGCUGGCGGCACGCUUUACACAUGCAAGUCGAACGGCAGCGCGGGCUUCGGCCUGGCGGCGAGUGGCGAACGGGUGAGUAAUGCAUCGGAACGUGCCCAGUAGUGGGGGAUAGCCCGGCGAAAGCCGGAUUAAUACCGCAUACGACCUGAGGGUGAAAGCGGGGGACCGAAAGGCCUCGCGCUAUUGGAGCGGCCGAUGUCGGAUUAGCUAGUUGGUGGGGUAAAGGCUUACCAAGGCGACGAUCCGUAGCUGGUCUGAGAGGAAGACCAGCCACAAUGGAACUGAGACACGGCCCAGACUCCUACGGGAGGCAGCAGUGGGGAAUUUUGGACAAUGGGGGCAACCCUGAUCCAGCCAUGCCGCGUGCGGGAAGAAGGCCUUCGGGUUGUAAACCGCUUUUGUUCGGGAAGAAAUCCUCUGGGCUAAUACCCCGGGGGGAUGACGGUACCGGAAGAAUAAGCACCGGCUAACUACGUG
rnacentral:rRNA from 1 species